rnacentral:rRNA from 1 species
CUACGGGUCGCAGCAGUUAGGAAUAUUCUGCAAUGCGCGCAAGCGUGACAGAUUGAACCAGAGUGUUUUUCAAAUGAAGAGCUUUUGCCAAGUGUAAAAAGCUUGGCGAAUAAGGACUGGGUAAGACGAGUGCCAGCCGCCGCGGUAAUACUCGCGGUCCAAGUCGCAGCCAUUUUUAUUGGGUCUAAAACAUCCGUAGCUUGCUUGGUAAGUUUCUUGUGAAAUUUUAUAUCUCAAAUAUAGAGCGUGCAAGAAGUACUGCCUAGCUAGAGACUGGAAGACGUAAGAAGUAUGUUUGGAGUAGCGGUAAAAUGUGUUAAUCCCAGACAGACUAACAACAGCGAAGGCAUCUUACGAGGACAGUUCUGACAGUAAGGGAUGAAAGCUAGGGGCGCAAAACGGAUUAGAUACCCUCGUAGUC